AUAGGUUUGGUCCCAGCCUUCCUGUUAACUUUCAAUAGACUUAUACAUGCAAGCAUCCACGCCCCGGUGAGUAACGCCCUUCGAAUCACACAGGACUAAAAGGAGCAGGUAUCAAGCACACACUCUUGUAGCUCACAACGCCUUGCUUAACCACACCCCCACGGGAGACAGCAGUAACAAAAAUUAAGCCAUAAACGAAAGUUUGACUAAGCCAUAUUGACUAGGGUUGGUAAAUCUCGUGCCAGCCACCGCGGUCAUACGAUUGACCCAAGCUAACAGGAGUACGGCGUAAAGCGUGUUAAAGCACCAUACUAAAUAGAGUUAAAUUUUAAUUAAACUGUAAAAAGCCAUAAUUAUAACAAAAAUAAAUGACGAAAGUAACCCUACAAUAGCUGAUACACCAUAGCUAAGACCCAAACUGGGAUUAGAUACCCCACUAUGCUUAGCCCUAAACACAAAUAAUUAU
rnacentral:rRNA from 1 species